rnacentral:rRNA from 1 species
UAACAUGUGUGCAAGUCGUAGGGUCUGCUUUUAAACGAGCUAAACCCGAUGGCGAAAUGAAAGUGAAGGCCGCCCCCUAGUGGGGAAGCAGAACGGCCGAGGCGAGAUCCUAAAAAAGCCGCGUUCUCGGACCGGCGAAAUUUUUAAAAAAAACCGGACAUGGUAGGCACGUUGGCGGUCGUCAGAAACCGCCGACGGUCCGGAGGCGCAUCGCCGGCCCGUCUCGAUUGCUCCGAUCUUCUGUGCCUUCUCUCUAUUUCCGUCCGUGCGUUUUCGGUCCUUUCGGGGGUCGGUUCGCGCCUCGGAUCGGAGUUGGCGUCGGUCGAAAGGAACUGUAGUCAAUGAGGCGGAGCAAGAGCACACACGUUGGGACCCGAAAGAUGGUGAACUAUGCCCGGGCAGGACGAAGCCAGAGGAAACUCUGGUGGAGGUCCGCAGCGAUUCUGACGUGCAAAUCGAUCGUCGGACCUGGGUAUAGGGGCGAAAGACUAAUCGAACCGUCUAGUAGCUGGUUCCCUCCGAAGUUUCCCUCAGGAUAGCUGGCGCUCGGAAACGAAAAAUGAAAAAAAACGAAACAGUCUCAUCCGGUAAAGCGAAUGAUUAGAGGCAUUGGGGCCGAAACGGCCUCAACCUAUUCUCAAACUUUCAAUGGGUGAGAUGUCCGGCUUGCUUAACGAAUAAAAACGGGGGCGGUCGGUCGGGCUUGUUGGUGCGUUUGCUUUUCCUUCUCGGAGGUUUGGCUUCGUGUUGUCGAGUACCCGUCGGCCGCAAGCCCUUGAAGCACGGACGUAGGAUGCGAGUGCCCAGUGGGCCACUUUUGGUAAGCAGAACUGGCGCUGUGGGAUGAACCAAAAGCCGGGUUACGGCGCCCGAUGCGGACGCUUAUCAGACCCCAUGAAAGGUGUUGGUUGCUAUUGACAGCAGGACGGUGGCCAUGGAAGUCGGAAUCCGCUAAGGAGUGUGUAACAACUCACCUGCCGAAGCAACUAGCCCUGAAAAUGGAUGGCGCUCCAGCGUCGAGCCUAACCCCGGCCGCCGGACGGCAUUGAAACUGAACUGAUUAACAAAAAAUCGAUGCCCCGGCGAGUAGGAGGGUCGCGGUGGUGAGCGUUGAAGGGAUCGGGCGCGAGCCUGCCUGGAGCCGCCACCGG